UUUUUUUUUUUUUUUUUUCCUUUUCAUGACCAAGGACUAAAGCCUUUUGGGCACAUUAGCACUACUUUCAGCAGUAAUGCAAAAUGGGAAAUAAUUGGGUUGAGGAGCUCCUGGGAUAUUAGUGGUGCUGCAGGCAGGAAAGCAGGCAUUGGAAAAUAAAUGACAAAUUAGUAUGCUUAAUCUCUUUAUUGUGAAUCAGAUGCCACAGCAGAGGUUCAUAAUACAUUAAUAAACACCAGUUAAUGCAACUGAGAUACUAUUCCUCAAAUUCACAAGAGUGGUAAGAAUUCUUUCCUAAGGGAAUGAUUGUGUUUUCUGAAUGAUUUCCCCCCGACAUAAGCAGGGCUUUGUAGUACAAAUCUAGGGAAAGAAGGAUAACAAUUAUGCAUGUAUAGUAUGUAAACACUUAUGAUCACUUUCAUGCAUAUCCACCUGCCUGAGCUUCACUAUGACAUCCCAGAAAAAGGCAGGUUUCACUAUUUUACAGACAAGUCACCAAUGGACUUAAAUGACUUACCAAACAUUGCUCACCGUUGGUCAAGCAAAGAUUUGAACCUUAAUAUUCUGGCUUCAAAAAAAUGUAUGUUCUUGCCACCCUAUCAUCCAACCUAUGUAGAAUUGAAAUAGAUACUAGUUAUAGCUCUGUAUUAUACAGAUUCUGAUAUCCUCUGAGUUGAGACAUACUCCAUGACCCAUUAUAACUAAGUUCCAUAAUAUUACAAGUAUAACGGGAUUCCAGAAUAUUAUUAAGUAACUGAUACCACAAAGUCUUCCUUAACAUGUCCUUUAUAACUCAAAAGAGUCCCAUGACAUUUCCCGUACGGAAACUCUGAGACACACAGAGGGUCACAGCUGAGCCACUUAGUGUCCAGAAUUAUCACUAACCAGGCUUGGCAAGGUUACUACUUGAGGUGCUCUGGCUUGUAGCUGAUCAUAUCACGUGUUUAACAGACAAAAGUAUCUGAGUCGUGGGUUUUCUACUCUAGCAUUUCCAGAACAUGAAUCAGCCAUCACAGCUCACGAGAUCUGUUAGUGACUGGGCAUCUGUGUAACAACCCCAUCCAGCUUAACUCUAGUUAUUCCUCUAGCUUGUACUUCACAGCAUUCAGCUGUUCAGCUGUGCAGCAUUCUUUUGUCUCAGUUAACAUCAUGUUUUGCAAUUAUUCCAAUACUUGUUAUGGAGGCUGAUAUUUUUGUAUAUGGAACCCCUUCUGUCCUCAUUUAUAUCAGCCCUGUCCUC
rnacentral:lncRNA from 1 species